rnacentral:lncRNA from 1 species
CUUACUCCUACAAGUCUAUUCAUUUUAGGGGAAAAAAACAAACAACCCAACCAGAUAUUCUAAGAAUGUUAAAACAUAUCUUCUGUCCUUUAAAAACCAGCUGUUUCCUAUUAUUAAGCAAAAAAACCCCAUAUUUCCAUACAGAAACAGCUGGACACAAGGUAGCUAGAGACAGAGUGAAUUAAAAACAUUAUUCUGUUAGAUAAAAUACAGUAAGUCAUUUGCUGUAUUUUCCAAUCCUUACUUAGAGGCAAGUGGUUUUUCAAAUGUACAUGGACAGCUUCUCUGCUGAAGCUGACAGAAAUUCAACUUCUAGCAAAAUAAUGUGUGAUAGACACCCUCAAACCACAUAAUUUCUUCUAUCCUUACUAUCUUAACUCAAUGGACAGAGUGAAUGAUUUUUAAUCCAAAAUAUUUCUAAUUUAUUCCUUUUAUAUUCUAGUGUACAAUUAUUACUCUGUUAGGAUCCUUCUGAUAAUAGCAUUUUCUUUCAGGUCUAUAAUUUGCCUAAAUGUCUUAAGUGCUCUUCAGAUUUUCAACUACUAUUAUUUUUCUAUCAUUUGUUAUGUGCUUUUAUUUUUUUUUUUCAAAAUUCAACAAGAAAAAUAAAUUGCCCUAAUGUAGCAAAAUGACCAUUCCAGUUUUAAAGAAAAAACAGGUUUCUAUUCAUCCAAACUGAGUCAAGCAUAUGUUCCCUUAUAAAGACUAAAGCAGUGACUCAUAAAAUCUUGCACACACUGAUUCCUCCUUCUCCUAGGAGAUGAAGCUACAUGAUUUACCCAAAAGGAUUAAAUGAGGUCACAGCUAUUGAAUACAUGUUAUAACCUCAAACUUCAGGCUGAAUCCCCCCAUGUGCCAGCAUCUCCCCACCGACAACAGAGAAGUCAGUGUAGCCAGAUAGAACCGUGGAUGCCUGCACUGAAGAUAGCCACAUGAGAUCAAGUGAAUCCCCCUAUUACUGGACAGAUUCAGGUAACUGUAUCAAUUCAUAUCACCUUCAUCCAUUUAGUUACCAACUUCUGUUGUCAUUUAACAUGGAAUAAAAGUAUCACUUAACACCA